rnacentral:rRNA from 1 species
AGAGUUUGAUCCUGGCUCAGGAUGAACGCUGGCGGCGUGCUUAACACAUGCAAGUCGAACGAAGCACCUUAUUCUGAUUUCUUCGGAAUGAAAAAUUUGGUGACUGAGUGGCGGACGGGUGAGUAACGCGUGGGUAACCUGCCUCAUACAGGGGGAUAACAGUUAGAAAUGACUGCUAAUACCGCAUAAGACCACAGCACCGCAUGGUGCAGGGGUAAAAACUCCGGUGGUAUGAGAUGGACCCGCGUCUGAUUAGGUAGUUGGUGGGGUAACGGCCUACCAAGCCGACGAUCAGUAGCCGACCUGAGAGGGUGACCGGCCACAUUGGGACUGAGACACGGCCCAAACUCCUACGGGAGGCAGCAGUGGGGAAUAUUGCACAAUGGGGGAAACCCUGAUGCAGCGACGCCGCGUGAGCGAUGAAGUAUUUCGGUAUGUAAAGCUCUAUCAGCAGGGAAGAAAAUGACGGUACCUGACUAAGAAGCACCGGCUAAAUACGUGCCAGCAGCCGCGGUAAUACGUAUGGUGCAAGCGUUAUCCGGAUUUACUGGGUGUAAAGGGAGUGUAGGCGGGAUCAUAAGUUGCGUGUGAAAUGCAGGGGCUCAACCCCUGAACUGCGCGCAAAACUGUGGUUCUUGAGUGAAGUAGAGGCAGGCGGAAUUCCCGGUGUAGCGGUGGAAUGCGUAGAUAUCGGGAGGAACACCAGUGGCGAAGGCGGCCUGCUGGGCUUUUACUGACGCUGAGGCUCGAAAGCAUGGGGAGCAAACAGGAUUAGAUACCCUGGUAGUCCACGCCGUAAACGAUGA